rnacentral:misc_RNA from 1 species
AAGUCGUAACAAGGUCUCCGUUGGUGAACCAGCGGAGGGAUCAUUACAGAGUUGCAAAACUCCCAAACCAUUGUGGACUAGCCUGACAGGUGCUUCGGAAGGCCGGGUGAGGUGUGAAAACGCCGCUCUUGCGCCUACCGAAGUCAUCAAAACUCUUAUUUAUUGUGGCAUCUCUGAGUAACUUUUAAAUAAGUCAAAACUUUCAACAACGGAUCUCUUGGUUCUG